UCUGAACAAGUAACAUAAUUCAUUGCUGGGAACCAAAUAGCAUUUCAAUUGUUUGGAUACAGCAAAGUGUCAUGCCAGGACUUCUCUUUUCUAAAAUGGACGAAGAAAAGCACAUAGUUCUUUUCGAAGUAUUUAGGAAAAUCUAUCAUGUUCAGAAACUAAAUUUAUUGAGAAAUUUUGCUGGCUAGUGAUCAUACAUCAUGGAACAAUGUUGCCUGUGCUUGACAGUAAGUAUUUUGCAGUUUUGUACUACUCAGAAGUUUUUAAGUUUGGAAGUAUCUGUUUCAAUGAUGUAAUUUUCAUACCUCUGGAAACAAGGAGAUGCCUCCAAGGAGACAAAGGGAUGGGACAGCAGCAUAGCAUAGCGUAGCCAAGGAGUACGCAGCCCACAGAUUAUAGAUAGAGUAUGCGAGUUGAAGUUUCAGAGGAACCUUUUUGUGUCCAUAUAUAAGUGGACAGUGUCUCGAGAGAAAGAUCUGAAGGUGGCCCUCAGACCAUCUCUUAUGUUGUACUAGUGACUGUAACAGUGUUGUGGGCGCAACACCCAAGAAGCCCUUCCUUUCUGGAUUGAAAUAGACGGAUUUCCAACCUCUACAUUGUAUUGAGAAUCCUGUGAUAAUGUCUUCCACUGCACAAUCAUACUUAAGGCCCAUCUGCAAUUCAACAUAAAGAUUAAGUUUUUUAGCUUAAGAAAUAGGAAAAAGCUUUACAGGCAGGAAAUUCAUGAGACAGAGAGACAGAAGAACCUCCUUUCCCCAUUGACUGUUCUCUUCAUAGGUACAACUUGCAAGGACCUUACAUGAUUCUUCUAAUACACUAGCACUUUCUCUUCCUCUUCUGUCAUUCUCUCUCUUCCAUUCUCUCUCACAUUCCUUGCCAUAUUUCAUUCCACACAGUGCCACUCUCCUAUGAAAGCACCCGGUGCCAAUAUAGCAAGGUCCUCCAUUAGAAUCAAGGCCUGGAAGUUCCACCUUUUUCACCAGUCAUGUCAAAAGCCAACAAUAAAAUCAUUAGGAAGUCAUUGCUAAUGCCUACCUCCUCUAGGCCAAGCAGUAAGGAAUAUAUAAUUCUUUCCAAUCUUGCCUACCUGAAUAAUCACCCUAAGGCAGGUGCCAUAUAAGUCAUUCCUAGUAAGAUUAUCGUAGCACUGUGGAAACUGGACAUAUGCAAUUUCAUGGCCCUUCUCUUCAUCCAUGAAAAAACACAGAGCAUCUCUCACUGAUUCUGAAUUGUUGGAGUACAUAUCACAGUCCACAUUAAGAAUAAUCGAGCCAUUGCUUAUCUUUGAUGACACCCUUAUCUGUUCAACAAAAUCAGAGUCACCUACAUUAAGAUAAUUGACAGUGGGUCACUGUAGGAAAGCUGAAGUCAUUUAAGCUUACAAGUGCAUUCAUGGCUCCAGCUUUAAAAUUGUGAUGGUAUUGGGGUCUCUUCUCACGGGACAAGUACACUAGAGUUGGCAAUGGUUGUCCUUCAGAGUCCACAGCCUUGGGGUCUCUCCCAUCAAUCACUAUCUGUUACUUUAUAUAAUAUUAGUAAAAGAUGAAUCAAAGAAAAAUAUGGAGAAAAACCAAGAAGAGACGUAUUGAUUUUCAAGAAGAAAUCUCUUGGAAUAGGAAAAAAAUACACAAAUUAGUAGAAUAACUACUUGAACAAUGGACUGAUGGUCAUGCCGUGUUGAAGCACUGUUCCACUCCAGAAAUCCCUUGUGCUCCUUUCUUAUUUCUUCUGAAAUUCUCCCCAGUCUAGUGGUGGUUUCGAUUCUAUUCUUCAUGUCUUCAUACAAUUCCUAUAAUGAGAAAAGGAAUAGAACUUUUAAAUCGUAUGUAGAAAAACUCUAAAAAGAUUUGCCUAGUAUGGGAGUUACACAUACUCAUUACAACAUGGAAAGAGAGAAAAAUUCAAGUACCAUACCACAUGCCAUUACACAGUCUGAUGAACAUUUUCUUUGUUCUCCUAAGAGUUUAAGUUCCUAGGAUUUGGACUUUUUUUUUUUUUAAUUUUUAAUUUUUAAUUAUUUGUGGGCAUACAUGUGGGCUCAACAAAUCGGGAAAAUAAAUAUGUAUUGAGGUUUGAAUACAUGAUCUCCCACCCAGCCUGCUAUAUCAAUUUUACUAAAAACUUAACUUUGCGGGAUUUGCACCCAUAAUAUAUAUUAUACUCUUCCACACUCAUCAUUAUUUAUGAUCUCUAAAUUGUUUGCAGGAUUUGGAUCUAUAAUAUAUGUUAUACUCUUCCACUCUUCAUUAAUUAUGAUCUAUAAAUUGCUUGUACGAUUUGGACACAUAAUAUGUCUUGUACUCUAUCAUAUUCCUCAAUUCUAAUCCCUCAUAGAAUUUAUUUGAGUGGUCAUAAUGCAAGUCAAAUCUUAAGAGAAAGGAAGGAAUUUCAUCUUCGUUAUACCAACAAGACUCUUGCUGUAACGCUCCCAACCGUGCUUUGGACCCAAAGAGGCCCUCACAGUUUUAAAACGCAUCUACUUGGUUAAGAGGAACCUUUACAUAUAUAGCAUUAGGAACAUUCUCCUCUAUCCGAUGUGGGACAUCACAAACGCCCCUCCAUGUAGAUACAACGUCCUCGUUGUGUCCUAUGGGAUUGUGGGGCCAAACAAACAAACACUCCUUACAGGGCCAAACAAACCCUCACACCGGGGUCGGAGAUCAGCUCUGAUAUCAUUUGUAACAAUCUGUUCCCAAUCGUGUAGAUAUUAUCCGUUUUGUAUCCAAAGAGGCCAUUACGGCUUUAAAACGCGUCUACUUGGUUUAGAGGAGUCUCUACAUAUAUAGCGCCAGAAACAUUCUCCCCUAUCUGAUGUGGACAUCACACUUGCCUUUUGCAAAGUCCUUAAACCAUAUUUUACAUUGCUUUUAAAAAACACUUAAUUUUACUUUAAAAAAUAUUUUUGAGAAAAAAAUAUGGUCGCUUCAUAAAAUUUAAAAAACAUUUCUAAAAAAUUAAAAAAUCUUAGCAUUCUAUAUAUGAUCCUCCCAUAAAAAAAAAUAAAAAAAUAAAAAAAUAAAAAAUAAAAAAUAAAAAAAAAAUAAAAAAAAAACCUUCUUCUAAAGAACACUACCGAGCACGCACACAUUCAUUCAUUAUCUUCCCUGCAAAACUUUCCGGAAAAGAUGCAACAAUUUUGAAGUGGGUCAGACUGAUGAUGCACAGCGGUCGACAUUAAUGUUGGGGAUCUUUCGUAUCUUAAAUAGUUACUCAUUAAAAGGACAGGAUCCUUCUUACUGUCUGAGGCUCUCUUCCAGCUUCGAUUAUUUCCUUUAACAAUUGGGUCUUUGGAAUGAAGUCAGAGCAGCCUUGGAAGUAGUUGCAGCUUGCAACUAUAUGUUGACAAUUGAUCUUAAACCAAAAUUCAUAGAAUCCAAGGAGAAAAAAACAGAGAAAGUUGUACCUUGAUGGACAACCACUCCUGAGCCAUGAGAGGAUUGCUAUCAGGGGGUUCAGAAGUUGUGGAAAAAUAAGCAGCAGGUGAUCUUGGUUCUAUACUGAACUUCCUACAAAAUGGUAGCCAAUGUUUUGAGAAGCGAGAGGCCUCCAACAAAGCAUAGAAGGUCAGGUCUGAGCCUCCAUCAUCAGAGAGAUAGACGCUUAGGUUCUGUGAUGGGUAAUUGUAAGCCAUGACUGAUAAAACAGUGUUGAUGACCAUGAUGGGUGGCUCUAUUCUUGGAUCUGCAGUGCACACAAAUAUGUCUAUGCCCGGCAAAACCUCCUCAUAUCUGCAAUGAAAUUUCAGAAUGAGCCAUUAGCAGGUGAAGAUAGGAGCAAGAAGAGGGAGAGAGAUUGAAAAAACCUCUGAGAGAGCCUGUCUUUGAAGGUGUAACGAUAGAUGGGGCUCCAUCUAACAAGCUGAGUGAGAAACCAGUAGAAACUGAACAACAACUCAGAUAGAAACAAUCCCAUCCAAGCCCAUCUUCUUAGCACUUGUGCGCCUGCAGGUGGGAAGUGAACCACCCUGUAAACCCAGAUAAAAAUAAUACCCACAAACACUGAUGCUGCAUAACAUCUGAAUAGGAUACGACCCUUUGCAACCUUGGUUUCAAAGAGAGGAAGAUAGCCAUCUCUGCCCAUUUCUACACUGCCUCUCUCUCCAUUCAUUUCCAUGACCUUAUAGAGUCACAUGACCCUUUUGUUUUUUUGUCAGUGGAUUAUUGGAAGGAUACCAUUGGAGGCCUUUUUUCGAAAUUUACAGUCCUUGUAUGCUAUACUUUGUCACCAUAUGAGUGGGUAACAUUGGGUGGCCAGGCCAAAGGAUGGUUUUAUUUUUUAAAUAUUUUGAACACAUUUAAAAAUCAAAGAAUUUUGAUCUAUGGAAAUUAAAGACUAGUUGGUGUUAGUCUUUGAACGAAAGAGUACUUUGCAGUAUCAUAUUAAAUUCGUUUGUCUAAUAUCAUUUCAAAUCAUGUAAGGUAACAUGGCGACUAAGUUGUUAUUAAAAAAUGCUUUCACGCAUAUGAAAAAUAUAACUACACCAACACAAAAACAAUAUAAAAAAGAUUAGGGUGAAGUAUAUAUGAUUAAAGAUAUAAUGUACUAAAGCAGUAAGAAUGUUGUCAUAUUCCUAGUAAGGACAAGUUGGUCUUGAAAUUUUGUCUCAAAAAAUCUCCUGUCACCUUCAAAACGUAAGAGAAGGUCCACAAUCUCUUUCAAAGUUAUAAAUGACUUUUUUAAAACACAACUAAUAUAGAUCAAGAUAAGAAUAAAUGUCUCUUUCACAAUGCUAUUGGAAAGUAUUUUUAAUAUCAAAUUAAAAAAAAAUAUUUUUUUAAAAUUGAAUAUUUGGUAAAUUUUUAAAAAUAUUUUUAAAAAUUUUAAAAAUCAUUUGAAAUAUUUUUUAAAGAAAUAUAUGAUAGAUGGUUCUUUUAAAAAAAAAUAUUUUUUAAUGAAAUUUUAAAAAAUAUUUUUAAGAAGUUGAAAAAUUUCUUAUAGUGCUUUUUGAAGAAGUAUUUGAUAGAAAUGGAAAUAUAGAGAAAUAGUAAUAUAGUAUGAUGUAAUAAGAUGUAAAAAAAAAGAGUAAAGUAAUUGGACAAUGUAAAGUCUUACAUAUUCAAAAGUGAGAUUUUGUGGAAAAAUAUUAGUUUGCAAUAGAAAAUAAGGGCAAAAAUAAUGAUGUUGAAUGUGUAAUGUACAGUGAAUAAGGAAUGAUAGAUAAAUAGAAUUUGUGAAAAAAAAAAAAAGAACAAGAAAAAAAUUAAGGAUAUGUGGUUGGACAAGGAAUUGAUGUUUUGAUGUUGUAUGGUAAAGGAGGAAAACAAAAUUUAAAUAUAGAAUUAGUUAUUAUAAGGAUUAAUUAAUAAUAAGGGAUAUAACUUUUUUAUUUUUUAUUUUAUUUUAUGAUACAUCAUAAUGUCAGAUUUGUAUUAAUGAGAUUUAUUUUAUUUCAUUUUAUUUGUCGAAACGAAUUUAUAAUUUAAUCAAUUUAUGCUAUAAUAUUUAGUCCUUAGCAAGUUGUAGAAGAAUUGAAAAAGGUGAACGGGAGUGGUCAUUAACCUAAUGAUAUCAGUUGAUUGACUUAAUUCUCUUUUAAUUUGAAAACAUGUUUAUCAAAAUCCCAUUAGUUUAUGCAAAUUUGUUUAUAUUUUGUAAGCUGAAAUUUCCAUGACAUUUUAUGUCCUUUUUUUUCUUUGUUUUUACCAAAAAGCUCAUCACCUCUACUUUUGAAAUGCCCCUUCUGACUGCGUUUUGGUCCCUUGAAUGUGGAUAAUAAGUCACAUCAUGAGUAGGAAGGCAUCUCAUUAGUUUGUCAUUAGCAACUUCGUGAGUAGGAAGGAAUCUCAUUAGUUUAUCAUUUGUUUAGGGAUGAUAAUAGGAUUGGUUUUUUUAGUACCCGUUCAGCAUAUAAUGGGGUGAGGUUUAAUUUUAAUAAAUGAAUUUGGGACGAGUUUAAGAAUUUUUUUUUUAAAACUCGCGACAGGUUCAGGUAUUGCCUCGUAUCGCCAAAUUAUAUAUAAAAUUAAUUAAUUUAAAAUUUAAAAUUAAUUUAAUUUAAUUUUUAUUUUACUAUUUUUAAUAUAUAAAUAAUAAUUCUUGGGGAGGACUUUAAUAGGCUUAAAUACUAAAACUGCCCUUCAACUAAAACUUUCAACUAAAACUUUUAAAAUUCAAAGUAUUUAAAGCACUUCACUUGAUUUGUUAGGACAUUUAUGGUGCAUAGGUUCCACAUUUAUUGUAAUUAUUGAUAUUCAAAUUUUAAAUCAAAAUUUUGGUUUAACCCUUACAAUUAUAUAUAAUUUGUUAUUUAAAUUUACCGUUUAAAACAAAAAUAUUUUCAAAAUUGUUUUUUUUUUACAUUUUUUUUUAUUUUUAUUCUAUUUUUUAAUUUUAAUUAAGAAAAAAGAUAAGUUUUAUAAUUAUAUAGUAAAAAUGAUGAUUUUUUCAUAUAUAUAUAUAUAUAUAUAUAUAUAUAUAGAUUAAUUUUAAAUUGAUAAAUUAUGUUUUUGUAUUAAAUUCAAAGAAGAUAAAAUGUUUAAUUUUUCAUUCAUAUUAUUUAAAAAUAAUAAGAAAAUGAUGGAGAAUGUUUAAUCAUUUUUUAUUUUUAUAAUAAAAUAAUUAAAAAAAAAUUGUAGUGUUUUUUUUCCUUUGCAUAGUGUUUUUUUUUUUCCUCAAUGCAUCAAGUGGAUGAUGUUAAUAUAUUUGAUAUGUUGAAUAUUAAUAAGGUAUAAAAAGUGAUUUUAAAGAUUAUUACUUUUAUUAUAAAAUACAAGUACAACAAAAAUAUGUUAUAAUUACAAUAUAAAUACACUUGCAUUACAAUAAACCUAAUUAGGAAAUUUUUGAAAUUUUUUAUAAAAAUGAUAAUUUUGUAUAAUCAUACCAUAUUUCACAAAAUACUUAUAUCAUAAAUAAUUUCUAAAACCAAAUGAAAUACUAAUUUGAAUUCACUCGUAGUUUUUUUUUUAAUAAACAAAAAUUAUUAAAUAAUUUUAAUGCACUAUAUGAAUGUUGUUAAUAUAUUGAUACGAUGUGUUAAUACCAAUAGGGUAUGAAAAAAUAGUUUUAGAAUUAUUAUUUUUGUAAUGAAAUAUAGUUAGGACAUAAAUGCAUUAUAUUUACAAUAUAAAUACACUAUCAUUACAAUAUAUUACAACAUAAUUUAAUUUAUUUUUGUUUAAUUUUUUCACAUGUUAUAUUACCCAAUGUAUAAUUGUGAGUUAUUAUAUUUAAUAGUUGUGUGUUAGUCAAUUGAAUAUUUAUAUAUUAUUCAAUUGACAAGUGCUUGUAAAAAAUAAUUAUUCAUUCUAUUAUGGUAACAAAGUUUUUAAUUGUAUGUUCUAUUAAUAAAAUGAUAUAAUAAUAUUAGGAUAUGAUUUUUAUUUAUGAGAUAUUGAAAAUUAUUUUUUUUACAAGAUUCUUUAAAAAAUCUCAAUUUUUUUUGAAAAAAAGAAAAGAAAAAAUAACAAAUUUUAAACAGUCACUUGAUUGUUUAAAAGUGAACAACAAUUUUUUCAAGUCUGAAAAAUGUACUGUAUUUAUCAUCAUGUAUGAGCCUCAUAUCAUAUAAUCUCAAAUUUAUUUAUAAAUAAUAUAGAAAACAUAUUCAAGGAUAAAAUUCUCUUCUAACAAUCUUUAAGAUAAGUGAGCUUUUCUAGUAAUUAUUCUUUCUAACCUACCUAUCGGGUAACUCUCCCAAAAUUAUACACACAAAUUCCUUGACGUGAAAUAGUAGGCAUUUGAUGGCGACAUUUGACAAUUCCCUUUCCACUGCCAAACUUCGGCAGCAGUGUUUCCGAAACGUGCAUGGUGGUGGUAGACGAGUGCUUGAUGGAGGAAAUUUGGAGGUUCCUGCCUUCCUGGUUGUGGAGCUCAUUUCAGCAUAUGGGCUUGCACCGAUUUCUAGAUCAAGGUCUCAUCUGACGGUCAAGUUCAAACGCAGAAAAGAAAAGAACAUAGAAGAGAGGUUUUGGGAGGGUUAGUCACCUCUUUUCCAAUAAAAGAUCUAAAGCCACCAAUAAAAAAACCAAGCCACUUCAUAAUUUCGAACAUAAAAGAUUGCCUUCUUACUUAAGAUUUUGAAAAUUGAGGUUACCGUAUGAUUGUACAUGAAAAAAAAAACGAUGUUCAUAAAUAUCCUUUGUAACAAAAUAAUAAGUGAUUUAUUUUUUAAAAAUAAAUAAAUAAAUAAAUAAUCAAUUUUAUAAAUAAAUAUCUAAUUUCCUAUAAAUCAAAAGUUCUGCAAAGCGUUACAUAAUAUACAUAGAGAGGUGUGGUGAAGAGACGCUUGGCUUACUGAUACAAAGCUAUUGAGCAGGCCAAUAGUACUAAAGCAACCGAUUUGUACGUGACAGAGGUUGGCAUGGCGCCCUUGUCCUUGCGGAAGAAAAGCCCUUGGUAUACAGGCAGGUUGAUGAGAACAACGACCCCACAUAAGAUACCCUGCAGUGCUAAUGACUCCAAAGCUUUGAUUUGAAUACCCACAAACACCCUCUUUACACAACAAACAAAACUGAACAGAUUGAGCAUUGCUAGUGUGGCUAUAAUGGUAAGCAUUGGUGAAGGAGAGCCGAACUCCAUAACUUCUUGCUCGUAUCUUCGAGACACAUCUUCAUCAGACACCUUUGCAGUGACUGCAAAAGUGGUCUCAGCAAACCCUAGUAGCUUCAAGAUUGUAUCAAGGAGGACAAAGAAAUAGGAAGUUGUCCUUCUCAACGCCCAUAUCCUCUGUUCAUUCCACCAACCUUGGGUUGUGCCACCAAACCAAAGAACUCGCCUAAGCUGUAUGCAUACUUGGCAAUGAUGACAUAGGCAAAGGGCAGUGCCCACAGGCUUGAUAUAUGAAAGGGGUAUAAUUCUUAAUAAUAAUGAUGAGUUUGGGAUUAAUUUGCUUUAGUAAUGUUAAAUUCAUUCCUCUGGAAACAAGGAGAUGCCUCCAAGUAGACAGAGGGAUGGGACAGCGACAUAGUAUAGUGUAGGCAAGCAGUUUGGAGCCCAGAGCAGCUAAGGACAAUAUGAGAAUUGAAGCUCUAGAGGAAUCCUUUUAUGCUCAUAUAGGAGGGGGCAGUACCUUGAGAGAAAGAUCUGGAAGUUGCCUUCAGACCAUCUCUUGUGUUGUAUUAAUGACUGCAAUAGUGUUGUAGGGGCAACACCUACAAAGCCUUUCCUUUCUGGGCUGAAACUGAUGGAUUUCCAACCUCUGCAUUGUAUUGAUAAUCCUGUAAUUAUAUCUUCCACUAAACAACCAUACUUCAAACCCAUCUGCAAGUCAACAUAAGCAUGAAGUUUCUUACUCGAAGAAAGAAGAAAAAGGAAAAAAAUAAAACGAUGGCAUUGAUGAGACAAAUAGAGGAACCUCUUUUCCCCAUUGGGUGUUCUCUACAUAGCUGUUGAAUUUUUAAUUUUGCCUUAGUAUCGGCUGGAAUUUGAAUUUUAAAGUUAGAUAUUGCAACUGGAGUCUUGCACAAAAUUUGCAACAUCCAAAUAUUUUCUUGUUUUUAUUUGAUCAAGAUUUGGUUUCUAUUUUAUAGGAAGUAGUUGUUCAUCAUCUAGUAGUUUGAUUUUCUACUAUUCUAAUGUCAUUUCAGUUACAAGCUCAUAUAUAAAUUCAACACUCUUCAUCAAUAAAAAGUGUGUUCCAAUAGCCUAAAAAUAAAUAUCCUGCAUAAGUGUUUAAUCUAAGAUCAUCAUUUUGGUAUCAGAGCAGAAAUUAUCUUGAGGGACCAGUGAGUUGAGUGAGCUAGAAGUUAUCUUGAGGGGUUAGUGAGUUGAGUGAGCCUGAAUACCUUGAGAGUGCCUAAACUCCUAUAGACCCUUGAGGUGAGUGAACCCAAAACACCAUGAGUGAACCCAAACACCUUCUAAAAUCAUCUAGCAAUAGAGAAGUCAAGUCUCACAACUGCACCAUCAAUUCUUGAUGGAGACAAUUAUGAAACUUGGGAUGUUAGAAUGAUAGUUCAUUUACAAGCACUUGAUGUUUGGGAAGCAGUGAAAGAAAAUUAUGAAGUUCCUCUCUUGGGAGCCAAUCCAACUGUGGCUCAAAUGAAGUUGCAUAAAGAAAGAAAGACAAGAAAGACUAAAGCGAAGGCUUGCUUGUUUGCUGCAGUUUCAUCAUCAAUUCUCAUCAAAAUCAUGAAAAUUGAUUUAGUUGCAAAAAUUUGGGAGUAUCUCAAGGAGGAAUACAAAGGAGAUGAAAUAAUCAAUAACAUGUAGGUGAUGAACUUGAUUCGAGAAUUUGAAAUAAAGAAAAUGAGGGAGUCUGAUGCUGUUAAAGACUAUGCUACACAACUUCUUUCACUAGCAUACAAAGUUAGGUUGCUUGGAAAAGAAUUUUCCAAUGAGAAGAUUGUUCAAAAGAUAUUGGUUACACUUCCUGAGAAAUAUGAAGUUACAAUUUCCUCUUUGGAGAAUUCAAAGUGAUAAAACAAAGGUUAUGAAUAAUUAAGGAAAAUACCCAAAAUGGGGGGUGAAUUGUAUUUUUUCAAAAUCUUUUUCCACACAAUAAUAUAUGCACAAAAUAAAUAAAGGAAAGAGAUAAAGUUAGAGAAUUCAAAUUCGGGUUUAUAGUGAUUCGGCACUCCUUUGCCUACGUCCACUCUCCUCAAUCUCCUAACCGAGUGAGGGGUCCCUAACUUGAAGCUUCAAUCAAGCUUUCAAUCUUCUUACACUUGGAUUCCGGCUCCAAUGGGCUCUUACACAAUCUCUUCAAGAUUUGAACCACUUAAAGACUUUCACACUCAGUUUACACAAAGAUGAAACUCUCAACCUAGCUUAAGGAUGACUCAAGUACAAGAGAAAGCUAGGAUGAUUUACAAGAGUGCACUAAGAAUAUGCAAGUGAUGGUUUAAUGCACUAAGAAAGAAAUGAGAGCUUUUUGAUCAAGAAUAGGUAGGUAGACAAUUGAUUGUAAAGGUUCUCUUAGUCAUAAAUGAAGUGGAGCUCUCAAUUUAUAGGUUUCUAAGCUCGGAAGACAAAAACAACAGAAAGUAGCCUCGACCGGACGAGCAAAGGGUCGACCGGUUCACUAGCCGUUGGAGCAUUUAAUGCAUGAUAGGUUACCGUUGCCUCAACCGGACCUCGACCGGUCCUCGACCGGUAAAGGAAUCACCUCGACCGGGAAGAGAAGGCUACUGGGAGAGAGAGAAGGUUUUUAACCUUCCUCGACCGGUCCUCGACUGGACGACCUAAAUCGAUCGACUGGUUCCUUAACCGGUUGACCGAUUGGCCUUAGCCUCGACCGGUUGAGCCUUUUGGCUCCGAAAACCUAUCAUUUUUUAUUUCUUUCUUUUCCAAUACUUAAGCAAGGUCUUUAGGUCAGUUAAUAUGCCAAUUUUGAAUCAAUUUGCCUAAGGUAUAUUUAAUAAAACUCGGGUUUUAAAGAAAAUCAAGUUUUAAAGAAUAAACCGAGUUUUCUAAGAUGCAUGAAAAGGUAUGAACAUCCUAAGUGCACUCAUGCUAUCAUCUUACAUUCAUUUCCUAUGAUCUCAAGUCUUCUAAGCGUCUCGAUCUUGUAUCCAUUUGGUCCUUUGAUGAAUUUUCGAGUUUACACCUGAGAUUCUUAAACAUUAAACCAAUUAGUUAUUUAACCAUGGUUUGUUAUCAUCAAAACCCGAUUAGGAGAACCCUUGGGCUAACACAAAGGAUCUGUCAACUAUUAGCUUGAUAGAAUUAUUACAUUCAUUGGAGGCUGUAGAACAAAUAAGACUCAUGAGACAAGGAGAUACUAUAGAAGGAGCAUUUCAAGCAAGAAUGCAAAAAAAUGCAGGCCAUAAAAAUGGAAAGAAGAACAAGAAGAAGAAGAACAAGCCAAACAACAACAACCAGAAAAAUGGAGUUUUUCCACCUUGUCCUCAUUGCAAGAAAACAAAUCAUUCUCCACAAAAAUGUUGGUGGAGACCAGAUGUGAAAUGCAACAAGUGUGGUAAACAAUGGCGUGUGGAGAGGAUUUUCAAAAAUCAACAACAGGAAGAAACUAGUGCAACAGUUGACCAAUGCCUAGAGGAGCAAUUGUUUGCGAAAACGUGUUUUGCUAAUAAAAGCACCUCUAAAAGCUGGCUUAUGGAUAGUGGUUGUACAAACCACAUGACUAAUGAUCAAGAUCUUUUAAGAAAACUUGUUAGAACAACUAUUUCCAAAGUCAGAAUUGGAAAUGGUGAGUAUAUUCCAGUGAAGGGCAAAUGAAUGGUUGCUAUCGAAAGCCAAAUAAGUUUGAAACUCAUUUAUGAUGUUUUGUUUGUGCCUGACAUUGACCAAAACUUACUCAGUGUUGGACAACUUGUUGAGAAAGGAUUUAAAGUUUAUUUUGAAGAUAGGAAUUGCAUUAUCAAGGAUGCUGAAGGCAAAAAGGUGUUUAACAUAAAAAUGAAGGGCAAGAGCUUUGCCUUGAAUUUACUGAAAGAUGAGCAUGCUGCUUGUUUUGCAACAAGAUAGUACAACAAUGCUUUGGCACAGAAGGCUCGGGCACUUUCAUCAUGAUGUUGUGCUCUACAUGAAGAAAAAUCAAAUAGCUGAAGGACUUCUUGACUUAGAAAAAGAUCUUCCUAUAUGUGCUAUUUGUCAAUUUGGGAAGCAAACUAAACUUCAUUUUCCAAAGAAAACAUCCUAGAGAGCAACCCAAAACUACAACUGGUGCAUACUGAUGUUGGUGGACCUCAAAAGACGUCAUUCUUGAAAGGAAGCAUUGUUCACCAACUCACUGCACCAUAUAAUCCAUAACAAAAAGGAGUCGUGGAGAGGAAAAAUAGAACGAUUUUGGAGAUGACAAUAUGCCUUGUGCAUGAAAAAAAUCUGCCUAAAAUUUUUUGUGCUGAAGUUGCAAGUACAACAAUAUAUUUGUUGAACAAAUUGCCAACAAAAACGUUAAAAAAGCAGACCCCUUUCAAAGCUUGGUUUGGUUAUCAACCUAAAGUAAUGAAAUUGAAAACAUUCGGUUACUUAUGUUUCUCUUUUGUUCCUAAGGUGAAAAGGGACAAGCUAGAUAAACAAUUAGAGAUGAGAAUUUUCGUCGGAUACAGUGACACUUCAAAGGCUUAUAGAAUUUACUUGCCACAAACUAAUAAAAUUGUGGUGAGUAGAGAUGUCAAGUUUUUGAAAACAAAGAAAUGAAGUUGGGAUGAAAAGAUGCAGCAGUAUAAUGAUGAAAAUGUUGACGAGCUUCCAGUUAGAGGUACCCGAAAACUCUUUGAUAUUUACUGUUAUGUUGCUACUACUGCUGCUGUAAAUCAAGUUUUAUGACUUAGGAAGUUGCUGACAGAUUUGGACAUGAAGCAAGAAAUGAGUACUCAAGUGUUUGUUGACAACCAAGCUGCUAUAUCUAUUGCCAAUGACCCAGUUUUUCAUGGCAAAACAAAGUACUUCAAGAUUAAACUAUACUUUCUAAGAGAGGUGCAGAAGGAAGGAGAUGCACAUAUAGUUUAUUGCAACACGGAGAGUCAAAAUGUUGAUAUAUUCACUAAACCUCUACCUAAAGCAAGGUUUGAGUUUCUACGUGGAAGACUUGGAGUUUGCAUCUACUAAGUCAAGGAGGAGUGUUGAAUUUUGAAUUUUGCCUUAGUAUCUGCUAGAAUUUGAAUUUUGAAGUUAAAUAUUGCAGCUGGAGUCUUGCACAAAAUCUGUAACAUCCAAAUAUUUUCAUGUUUUUAUUUGGUCAAGAUUUGGUUUCUAUUUUAUAGGAAGUAGUUGUUCAUCAUCUAGUAGCUUGAUUUUAUGCUAUUCUAAUGUCAUUUAAGUUACAAGCUCAUGUAUAAAUUCAACACUCUUCAUCAAUAAAAAGUGUGUUCCAACAGCCCAAAAAUAUAUAUUCUUCAUAAGUGUUUAAUCUAAGAUCAUCAUUUUGGUAUCAGAAAGUUAUCUUGAGGGGCCAGUGAGUUGAGUGAGCCUGGAUACCUUGAGAGUGCCUAAACACAUAAAGAAUAGCUACAACUUGCAAGGACCUUGCACAAUGCUUCUAAUACUCUUGCACUUUCUCUUGCCGUUCUGUCGGUCUCUCUCUUCCAUUCUCUCUCACAUUCCUCGCUAUAUUUCAUUCCACACAGUGCCUUUCUCCUGUGAAAGCACCCACUACCGAUAUAGCAAGGCCCUCCAUUAGCAUCAAGUCCUGGAAGGUCCACCUUUUUCACCAAUUUGUCAUCCGACAAUAAAAUUCAUUAGGAAUCCUUGAUCUCUCUAGCCAAAAUAGUAAUGAAUACAUAGUUCUUUUCCAAUUUUGCCUACCUCAUUAAGCACCCUAAAGCAGGUGCCAUAUAAGUCAUUCGUAGUGAGAUUAUUAUAGCUCGGUGGAAACUGGACAUAAGCAAUUUCAUGGCCCUUCUCUUCAUCCAUGAAAAAGCACAAAGCAUCUCUCACCGAUUCUGAAUUGUUGGAGUACAUGUCACAGUCCACAUUAAGAAUGAUCGAACCGUUGCUUAUCUUUGAUGACACCCUUAUCUGUUCACCCAAAUCAUAAUCACCCGUAUAAAAAAUGAUGCAAUAGGCCGAGGUGCAUUGGAGGAAAGCUCAACUGAUUUUAUGGAUUUAGGAUUCAUGUGUGUAGAGGCUAGAGCAAAGUUUUACCAGUGAAUUCAUAGCUCCAGCUUUAAAAUUGUGGUGGUAUUGGGGUCUCUUCUCCCGGGACAAGUAUACUAGAGUUGGCAAGGAUUGGCCUUCAACAUCCACGGCCUUGUCCUCUCUCCCAUCAAUUAGUAUCUGUUAUUCUAUAUUAUAUUAGUGAAAGAUGAAGCUCACAAAUAUAAAUGUUUUGAUUUUCAAGCACCUGAACAAUGGACUGAUGAUUAUACUGUGUAGAGACAUGGUUCCACUCUUGAAAUCCUUUGUGCUCCUUUCUUAUUUCUUCUGAAACCCUGCCCAGUCUAGUGGUGGUUUCAAUUCUAUUCUUCAUGUCUUCAUACGAUUUCUACAAUGAGAAAACAGAGUAAGUGUUACACAGGAGCCAGAAAACCGAUAAAAGGCCUUAGUUAUAAUGGUUAAAGAUGAAAAAUUCGAGCACUGUGAGUGUAAAACUUACUGCCAAAGCUACAAAGCCUAAUGAAAAAUAAUUUGGUUAUAAUUCGUUCAUGAUAGUAGUAAUAGUGACAGACUUAAUAGAAUUCAUUUUAAGAUCAGAAUCCGAGUAUAAUCCUAAAAAAAAGGUUCAAACCUAAUCUGUGUUGUCUUUGAAUUCCAACAUGACUGUUCAUUACUUGUAAUAUAAUUUUUGAAGGAAAAAUAUCUGGAAGAAUAUGGGAAGCAAUGAUCUAAGCAUAGUGGGACCAGUAUAUGGAAGAGGGCUGAGGAUGUGACCUCUUUAUUGUCUGUAGUAGAAAACAAAUUCAAUGACAGGACAGCUUUCUUCUUCUUGCUUCUUUCUUAGGUAAUUUGAAAAGAACAAUUUGUGUACAUUGCAUCUGAGUCUUAUUCCAACUUCAUUCAAUUUUUUUUAUAACAAAUACUAGAAAGGUGGACCACCAACUCAGAGCAGCCAUGGAAGCAUAUCUUUAGGCAACAUUAAAAAACUAAAAAAAUUGAAAGCGAAAAGAAUGGCAAGGAAGAAGAACCAUUACUGGGGAGGUUGAAUGAGCAACGGAAAUAGUGCAAAUAUGUUAAAAAUAAAUGUUCAAAUGGAAAUUAAUCUUAAACUAAAAUUCAUAGAAUCCAAAGAAAAAGAAACAGAGAAAGUUAUACCUUGAUGGAGAACCACUCUUGAGCCAUGAGCGGAUUACUAUCAUGGGGUUUGGGAUUUGUGGAAAAAUAAGCAGCAGGUGACCUUGGUUCUAUACUGAACUUCCUGCAAAAUGGUAGCCAAUGUUUUGAGAAGCAAGAGGCCUCUAACAAGGCAUAGAAGGUCAGGUCUGAGCCUCCAUCAUCAGAGAGAUAGGCGCAUAAUUUUUGUGAUGGAUAAUUAUAAGCUAUUGAUUUUCAUGCAACGAUUCUUAGUGAAAAAUUAGAAAAAAAUGAAAAGAAAACACACAGAUUUAACAUGGUUCAGAAGAUUGCCUAUGUCCAUUAGAACACGGAAGAAGAUUUUCACUAUAUUUCAAUUAGGAUUACAUAAACGGUAUUUAUAUUAACUCUCAGGUAUUGAAAUUCUAAAAUACCUUUGAACUGUACUGCGAAAUAUAAGCUUAAAUGACAAAUGUUGUGGCUUUGCUCCAGUAUUGACCCAUUUUUUUCCAUGUCUUUCACUCAAUAUAAGCCACAUAUUACAACAUAAGCCACGAAUGAUAAAACAGUGUUGAUGACCAUGAUGGGCGGCUCUAUUAUUGGUACUGCAGUGCACACAAAUAUGUCUAUGCCUGGAAAAGCGUUCUCGUAUCUGCAAUUAAGUUUCACAAUAGGCAAUUAGCAAGUGAAGAUGGAGGCAAGAAAGGGGAGAGGAAGAGAGAAAAGAUCACCUCUGAGAGAGCCUGUCUUUGAAGGUGUAGCGAUAGCUGGGGUUCCAUCUAACGAAUUGAGUGAUGAACCAGUACAAACUGAACCACAAUUCAGCUAAAGAUAAACCCAUCCAAGCCCAUCUUCUCAGCAGUUGUCCAUCUGCAGCUGGGAAGUGAACCACCCUAUAAAUACAGAUAAAAGUGAUGCCCACCAAAACUGAUGCUGCAUAGCAUCUGAAUAGUAUACGACCCCUAGCAGCUUUUGUUUCAAAGAGAGGAAGAUAGCCAUCUUUGCCCGUUGCUUCUGUCUUUCUCUGACCACCAUGUGAUCAGCUUAUAUAAAUAGUUUGGUUUGCAUUUUUCAUUUUAUUGUUGUUAUGGUCAAAACUUUACUUUGCCGCUUUAGAUGGCAUCAAAGAAAGGAGUAAAAACAAAUUAUCCCAUCUAAGCCCACCCAUCUCUAAAUUGCUUUCCUCUUGUAAAUGAACCGAGCACAAAUAGAACAAGUACCCAUAAAGGUUGAAACUGGAUAAACUGUGAAACAAGAUUUGACCCUUUUCAGCCCUUGUUUCAAACAGAGGAUGAGAAACAUCUCUCUAGCUCUCAUGCUCUCAUACUCUCCCUCUGCUGUCUCAUGCAUUACCUUAUAUAACCUGCCCACUGUUUCCUUUAAAUUCAAGAAUGUUUCUAACAAGGAGACAAGGGAUAUUCAAGGUUUAAGCAUCCUCUGCAUGCACAAACAGAGUUCAUGUGCUCAUUCUUUUUUCCUUAAAAAUUUGCAAUUUCUGGACUCUCUGGUGACACCCUGAUGAACAGGGGUUUAAGCAAGAGGCUUGUAACAAAUUAAAAUGGGUACAUGAUUAAUAUCGAAGCCUUUAUACCUGGAGAAACAUAUACUAUCCAUUAUUGAAAAUUGAAACUGCAUCAGUUAUACAUAUAUAACAGUUCUUCAGAGCCUUAUAUAAUACAUAUGAAGUUGUGGCAAAGAGACUUUGCUUACUGAUACAGUAAACUAAUACAAGGCUAAUGAACAGGCCAACAGCGCUAAAGAAACUGAUUUGUAUGUGACUGAUGUUGGCAUGGUGCCCUUGUCCUUGCGGAAAAAGAGCCCUUGGUAUACGGGCAGGUUGAUGAGAACAAGAACCCCACAUAAGAUAAUCUGCAGAGCCAAUGACUCCAAAGGUUUAAUUUGAAUAUCCACAACCACCCUCUUUACACCACAAACAAAACUGAACAGAUUGAGCAAUGCAAGUGUAGCUGAAAUGGUAAACAUUGGUGAAGGAGAACCAAACUCCAUGAUUUCUUGUUCGUAUCUUUGAGACACAUCUUCAUCACACACCUUUGCAGUGACAGCAAAAGUGGUCUCAGCAAAGCCUAGUAUCCUCAAGAUUGUAUCAAGGAAGCCAAAGAAGUAGGAAGUUGUCCUUCUGAACAUCCAUAUUCUUUGAUCAUUCCACCAACCUUGGAUUGUGCCACCAUACCAAUGAAACUCACCUAAGCUGUAUGCAUGCUUGGCAAUAAUGACAUAGGCAAAGGGAAGGACCCACAGGCUCCAUAUCUGAAAAAGUAACAUAAUUCAUUGCCGGGAACCAAAUAGCAUUUCAAUUGUUUGGAUACAGCAAAGUGUCAUGUCAGGACUUCUCUUUCUAAAAUGGAAGAAGAAAAGCACAUAGUUCUUUUCGAAGUAUUUAGGAAAAUCUAUCAUGUUGAGAAACUAAAUUUAUUGUGAAUAAUUUGAGAAAUUUUGCUAGCUAGUGAUCAUACAUUAUAGAACAAUGUUGCCUGUGCUUGACAGUAAGUAUUUUGCAGUUCUGUACUACUCAAAAGUUUUUAAGUUUGGAAGUAUUUGUUUAAAUGAUGUAAUGUUCAUACCUCUGGAAACAAGGAGAUGCCUCCAAGGAGACAAAGGGAUGGGACAGCAACAUAGCAUAGCAUAGCCAAGGAGUAUGCAGCCCACAGAUUAUAGAUAGAGUAUGCGAGUUGAAGUUUCAGAGGAACCUUUUUGUGUCCAUAUAUAAAUGGACAGUGUCUCGAGAGAAACAUCUGAAGGUGGCCUUCAGACCAUCUCUUGUGUUGUACUAGUGACUGCAACAGUGUUGUGGGCGCAACACCCAAGAAGCCCUUCCUUUCUGGAUUGACAUAGACGGAUCUCCAACCUCUACAUUGUAUUGAGAAUCCUGUGAUAAUGUCUUCCACUGCACAAUCAUACUUCACGCCCAUCUGCAAUUCAACAUAAAGAUUAAGUUUUUUAGCUUAAGAAAAGGAAAAAGCUUUACAGGCAGGAAAUUCAUGAGACAGAGACAGAAGAACCUCCUUUCCCCAUUGACUGUUCUCUUCGUAG
rnacentral:lncRNA from 1 species